UUUAAAAUUCCUUUAAAAUUUAAAUAGAAAUACAUUUGGGCGAAUCGAAUUUCUCUUCACAAUGUUUUGUGGUCGUAUUAAUAACAAAUUCUUCCGCAACAACUUUCUUUUCACGAUGUACUAAAUUAAAUAUUGAGCUGAGACUUAAAACGUUGUUGUCACAUCAUUUUGUUUAAUUUAAAUUCUAAGUUAUUCGAAGAUGAUGGAAUCAAGUCACGAAAAAUCAAUUGUGAAGAAAAAGCUAAGCUCACGACGAAUGAAAAAAUGCUGUGCUGUUAGCGUCUACAGAAAUGGAGUAUUCCAGGUGCAGCUCAAGAAAUAUCCGGAAGAAGAAGAAUGGACUGAUUUAACGGACAGCUCCGAUUCUGAAUAUGAUAACAAUUCCACUAUGGAUUGCGAAAGAUUAUCAGUUUUACUUAAUAGAAACGGUCCAUCGAAAAGAUCUUAUGAAGAUUAGUGCAAAGCAAUACGACAUUAAAACCAAAUUAAGCAAUUUACUCAAUAUCUCUAAAUUUCUUUUUGAUUCUUUAGUUUAAAACAUUCCUUAAAGUUCAUGCAUAGUUAGUUCAUACAUCGAGCAAAUAUCAAGUCUCAAAGCCUAAAACAUAUGUUUUCUAUACAUCCUGAUGAUAGAGAAAUUUGUCAACCUACCGCAUCUCCUGAGAAGAAGAAAAUAAACUGGAACUAAAAGACAUGCAGUCAUAUAUAUUAUUCAAUUUUGUUAAUACAGUUAUAUAUUAUGUUAUAUAAACAGUUAAACAAUAAAUAAACUU